UACGUAGGGUGCGAGCGUUGUCCGGAAUUACUGGGCGUAAAGAGCUCGUAGGUGGUUUGUCGCGUUGUCCGUGAAAACUCACAGCUCAACUGUGGGCGUGCGGGCGAUACGGGCAGACUGGAGUACUGCAGGGGAGACUGGAAUUCCUGGUGUAGCGGUGGAAUGCGUAGAGAUCCGGAGGAAGACCGGUGGCGAAGGCGGCCUGCUGGGCAGUUACUGACACUGAGGCGCGACAGCGUGGGGAGCAAACAGG
rnacentral:rRNA from 1 species